GACGAACGCUGGCGGCGUGCUUAACACAUGCAAGUCGAACGGAAAGGCCCUGCUUGUGUGGGGUGCUCGAGUGGCGAACGGGGGAGUAACACGUGAGUAACCUGCCCUUGACUUUGGGAUAACUUCAGGAAACUGGGGCUAAUACCGGAUAGGAGCUCCUGCUGCAUGGUGGGGGUUGGAAAGUUUCGGCGGUUGGGGAUGGACUCGCGGCUUAUCAGCUUGUUGGUGGGGUAGUGGCUUACCAAGGCUUUGACGGGUAGCCGGCCUGAGAGGGUGACCGGCCACAUUGGGACUGAGAUACGGCCCAGACUCCUACGGGAGGCAGCAGUGGGGAAUAUUGCACCAUGGGCGGAAGCCUGAUGCAGCAACGCCGCGUGCGGGAUGACGGCCUUCGGGUUGUAAACCGCUUUCGCCUGUGACGCAGCGUGAGUGACGGUAAUGGGUAGAGUAGCACCGGCUAACUACGUG
rnacentral:rRNA from 1 species